rnacentral:rRNA from 1 species
UUCGCAAUGCCCGAAAGGGUGACGAAGCGACGCCGCGUGGAUGAAGAAGGCCUUCGGGUCGUAAAAUCCUGUCAGGAGUUAAGAAAUAUAAGUUUGAUAAUACCAAAUUUAUUUGACAAAGGCUCCAGAGGAAGCCACGGCUAACUCUGUGCCAGCAGCCGCGGUAAUACAGAGGUGGCAAGCGUUGUUCGGAAUUAUUGGGCGUAAAGAGCACGUAGGUGGAUUUGUUAGUCAGAUGUGAAAGCCUUUCGUUCAACGGAAGAAUUGCAUCUGAAACUACAAACCUUGAGUAUAGGAGGGGAGAGUGGAACUUCUGGUGGAGCGGUGAAAUGCGUAGAUAUCAGAAGGAACGCCGGCGGCGAAAGCGACUCUCUGGCCUAUAACUGACACUGAGUGUGCGAAAGCUAGGGGAGCAAACGGGAUUAGAUACCCCGGUAGUCCUAGCCGUAAACGAUGGGCACUAAGUAGAGGGGUUUU